rnacentral:rRNA from 1 species
CUCCAGUUGGAUGCAUGUCCUUCUGGGAAAGAUUCAUCGGUAUGGGAUGGGGUCGCGUCCUAUCAGCUUGAUGGCGGGGUAACGGCCCACCAUGGCUUCGACGGGUAGCCGGCCUGAGAGGGCGACCGGCCACAUUGGGACUGAGAUACGGCCCAGACUCCUACGGGAGGCAGCAGUGGGGAAUAUUGCACAAUGGGCGCAAGCCUGAUGCAGCGACGCCGCGUGCGGGAUGACGGCCUUCGGGUUGUAAACCGCUUUUGACUGGGAGCAAGCCCUUCGGGGUGAGUGUACCUUUCGAAUAAGCACCGGCUAACUACGUGCCAGCAGCCGCGGUAAUACGUAGGGUGCAAGCGUUAUCCGGAAUUAUUGGGCGUAAAGGGCUCGUAGGCGGUUCGUCGCGUCCGGUGUGAAAGUCCAUCGCUUAACG